GACGAACGCUGGCGGCGUGCUUAACACAUGCAAGUCGAGCGGUAAGGCCCUUUCGGGGGUACACGAGCGGCGAACGGGUGAGUAACACGUGGGUGACCUGCCCUCAGCUCUGGGAUAAGCCUGGGAAACCGGGUCUAAUACUGGAUAUGACUCCAUGACGCAUGUUGUGGGGUGGAAAGCCUUGUGCGGCUGAGGAUGGGCCCGCGGCCUAUCAGCUUGUUGGUGGGGUGAGGCCUACCAAGGCGACGACGGGUAGCCGGCCUGAGAGGCGACCGGCCACACUGGGACUGAGACACGGCCCAGACUCCUACGGGAGGCAGCAGUGGGGAAUCUUGCGCAAUGGGCGAAAGCCUGACGCAGCGACGCCGCGUGAGGGAUGACGG
rnacentral:rRNA from 1 species